rnacentral:rRNA from 1 species
AGAGUUUGAUCCUGGCUCAGGACGAACGCUGGCGGCGUGCCUAAUACAUGCAAGUAGAACGCUGAAGAGAGGAGCUUGCUCUUCUUGGAUGAGUUGCGAACGGGUGAGUAACGCGUAGGUAACCUGCCUUGUAGCGGGGGAUAACUAUUGGAAACGAUAGCUAAUACCGCAUAACAAUGGAUGACACAUGUCAUUUAUUUGAAAGGGGCAAUUGCUCCACUACAAGAUGGACCUGCGUUGUAUUAGCUAGUAGGUGAGGUAAUGGCUCACCUAGGCGACGAUACAUAGCCGACCUGAGAGGGUGAUCGGCCACACUGGGACUGAGACACGGCCCAGACUCCUACGGGAGGCAGCAGUAGGGAAUCUUCGGCAAUGGGGGCAACCCUGACCGAGCAACGCCGCGUGAGUGAAGAAGGUUUUCGGAUCGUAAAGCUCUGUUGUAAGUCAAGAACGGGUGUGAGAGUGGAAAGUUCACACUGUGACGGUAGCUUACCAGAAAGGGACGGCUAACUACGUGCCAGCAGCCGCGGUAAUACGUAGGUCCCGAGCGUUGUCCGGAUUUAUUGGGCGUAAAGCGAGCGCAGGCGGUUUGAUAAGUCUGAAGUUAAAGGCUGUGGCUCAACCAUAGUUCGCUUUGGAAACUGUCAAACUUGAGUGCAGAAGGGGAGAGUGGAAUUCCAUGUGUAGCGGUGAAAUGCGUAGAUAUAUGGAGGAACACCGGUGGCGAAAGCGGCUCUCUGGUCUGUAACUGACGCUGAGGCUCGAAAGCGUGGGGAGCGAACAGGAUUAGAUACCCUGGUAGUCCACGCCGUAAACGGUGGAUGCUGGAUGUGGGGACCAUUCCACGGUCUCCGUGUCGGAGCCAACGCGUUAAGCAUCCCGCCUGGGGAGUACGGCCGCAAGGCUAAAACUCAAAGAAAUUGACGGGGGCCCGCACAAGCGGCGGAGCAUGCGGAUUAAUUCGAUGCAACGCGAAGAACCUUACCUGGGCUUGACAUGUUCCCGACAGCCCCAGAGAUGGGGCCUCCCUUCGGGGCGGGUUCACAGGUGGUGCAUGGUCGUCGUCAGCUCGUGUCGUGAGAUGUUGGGUUAAGUCCCGCAACGAGCGCAACCCU